rnacentral:rRNA from 1 species
UACGUAGGGUGCAAGCGUUGUCCGGAUUUAUUGGGCGUAAAGAGCUCGUAGGCGGUCUGUUCGCGUCGGAUGUGAAAACCCAGGGCUCAACCCCUGGGCCUGGCAUUCGAUACGGGGCAGACUAGAGUGUGGCAGGGGGAGACUGGAAUUCCGUGGUGUAGCGGUGAAAUGCGCAGAUAUCAGGAGGAACACCGGUGGCGAAGGCGGGUCUCUGGGCCAAUACUGACGCUGAGGAGCGAAAGCGUGGGGAGCGAACAGG